rnacentral:rRNA from 1 species
GGGGAAUUUUCCGCAAUGGGCGAAAGCCUGACGGAGCAAUACCGCGUGAGGGAGGAAUGCCUUUGGGUUGUAAACCUCUUUUCUCAGGGAAGAAGAUCUGACGGUACCUGAGGAAUAAGUAUCGGCUAACUCCGUGCCAGCAGCCGCGGUAAUACGGAGGAUGCAAGCGUUAUCCGGAAUCAUUGGGCGUAAAGCGUCCGCAGGUGGUUUCCAAAGUCUGCUGUUAAAGACUGGAGCUCAACUCCGGAACGGCGGUGGAAACCUGGAAACUAGAGUUCGGUAGGGGUAGCAGGAAUUCCCAGUGUAGCGGUGAAAUGCGUAGAUAUUGGGAAGAACAUCGGUGGCGAAGGCGUGCUACUGGACCGUAACUGACACUCAGGGACGAAAGCUAGGGGAGCGAAAGGGAUUAGAUACCCCUGUAGUCCUAGCUGUAAACGAUGGAAACUAGGUGUGGCUUG